CGUUUAGCUCAGCUGGUUCAGAGCAUCUGCCUUACAAGCAGAGGGUCGGCGGUUCGAAUCCGUCAACGCCCA
rnacentral:tRNA from 1 species